CGCGGCCUAUCAGCUUGUUGGUGAGGUAGUGGCUCACCAAGGCGACGACGGGUAGCCGGCCUGAGAGGGUGACCGGCCACACUGGGACUGAGACACGGCCCAGACUCCUACGGGAGGCAGCAGUGGGGAAUAUUGCACAAUGGGCGCAAGCCUGAUGCAGAAACGCCGCGUGAGGGAUGACGGCCUUCGGGUUGUAAACCUCUUUUAGUAGGGAAGAAGCCUUCGAGUGACGGUACCUGCAGAAAAAGCACCGGCUAACUACGUGCCAGCAGCCGCGGUAAUACGUAGGGUGCAAGCGUUGUCCGGAAUUAUUGGGCGUAAAGAGCUCGUAGGCGGCUUGUCGCGUCUGCUGUGAAAUCCCGGAGCUCAACUCCGGGCCUGCAGUGGGUACGGGCAGGCUAGAGUGCGGUAGGGGAGAUUGGAAUUCCUGGUGUAGCGGUGGAAUGCGCAGAUAUCAGGAGGAACACCGAUGGCGAAGGCAGAUCUCUGGGCCGUAACUGACGCUGAGGAGCGAAAGCAUGGGGAGCGAACAGGAUUAGAUACCCUGGUAGUCCAUGCCGUAAACGUUGGGAACUAGAUGUAGGGCCUGUUCCACGGGUUCUGUGUCGUAGCUAACGCAUUAAGUUCCCCGCCUGGGGAGUACGG
rnacentral:rRNA from 1 species